GUUGUCUCUUAAAUGGAGGAGCCGGGCACUUUUCAUUCAGGGUGGAAACUCCAGCAGAUAAACAAGCAGCAAGGAGCAGCACUGCAGAGGCCUAAUUUGCCAAACAGUUCCACAUCAUCCUGCCAUGGGUAACUCAGCAUCUACCAGCUUCAACAUGCCUGCACCAAAGAGACUGUCCCUGGGGCGUCAGAAAGAAGACACGGUGAAGCUGGAGGACUUUAUGACACAGUGUGAAGAGGAUUUCUGGAGAGUUAAAGCAAAAAAACGCUUGUCUGUGAAAAAGAUCCACUUCAUUCGCAGCAUCAGUUACGUUGACUUAAAUGUCCAGGAGAGCAAUGGUUUUUAUCCAAACAGCGGCGAAAUGCUGAACCUUGCUUUCAUUGGAGAUUAGGGGACGUGAGAGACUGAACUCUAUGGGGAAAUCUCAUGUCGACACAACAGCUCAGCGUGGAGGAGUCUCCGGUGUGAUGUUUGAAGGGGACACAGCAAAUUGUCUCUGUGAUGCUUCUGCAACCCUGCAAUUUUUUCUCUCUCACCACAAGACUGAAGGUGUGAUCGUGAACAAAGUGAUGAACUGAAUAUGAGUCAGGUUCCUUCCUUUUUUUAAAGAUGUGUUAAGAUUAAAAAAAAAAGUUUUCACUCACAGGACAGGUCAUAAGACAAAAACUUUUAGAUGUCGACUGAGACAAGGACAUUCAUUCUGUCUUCCCAGCUCUCUGUCCAUGGUGCACUCAGUGUAAGGUACAGUAAAGAUCAUUUUCCCUGUAGAGAACACAUUUCAUAACUGAAAUGUGCGUUGACGCCUAAUUAGCUGAUCUCUGUGACCUUUUUUUUUUUCAUUGCUUUCAGUCAGCACUUGCUGUCUCGAUAAAUGUUUCACCUUUGCACAACCUGGAUCUUAAAUCAAUGUAUCACUUCUUAACAUUGUGGAAAAAAGAGCAAAAAAUGAUGUUUCUAACUAAGAUUUAUGAGCAAACGAUUUGAAAAAAAUACAUUCAAAUAUUCCAGCUGA